CAAGUCGCACGAGAAAGCGGGAGCAAUCUCGCAAGUACAGUGGCGUACGGGUGAGUAACACGUGGGUAAUCUACCCUUUAGUGGGGAAUAACGCUGGGAAACCGGCGCUAAUACCGCAUAAGCUCGAGAGAGGAAAGCAGCAAUGCGCUGAAGGAGGAGCCCGCGGCCGAUUAGCCAGUUGGUGAGGUAACGGCCCACCAAAGCGAAGAUCGGUAGCCGGCCUGAGAGGGCACACGGCCACACUGGCACUGAGACACGGGCCAGACUCCUACGGGAGGCAGCAGUGGGGAAUCUUGCACAAUGGGGGAAACCCUGAUGCAGCGACGCCGCGUGAGCGAUGAAGCCCUUCGGGGUGUAAAGCUCUUUCGGCAGGGACGAUAAUGACGGUACCUGCAGAAGCAGCUGCGGCUAACUACGUGCCAGCAGCCGCGGUAAUACGUAGGCAGCAAGCGUUGUUCGGAGUUACUGGGCGUAAAGGGUGUGUAGGCGGUCCUCUAAGUUUGGUGUGAAAUCUCCCGGCUCAACCGGGAGGGUGCGCCGAAAACUGGAGGGCUAGAGUGCGGGAUGGGAGAGUGGAAUUCCUGGUGUAGCGGUGAAAUGCGUAGAUAUCAGGAGGAACACCGGUGGUGUAGACGGCUCUCUGGACCGCGACUGACGCUGAGACACGAAAGCGUGGGUAGCAAACAGGAUUAGAUACCCUGGUAGUCCACGCCCUAAACGAUGCAUAUUUUGGUGUGGGUCAUUCAUUUGAUCCGUGCCCGGAGCUAACGCGUUAAUAUGCCGCCUGGGGGAGUACAGUCGCAAGGCUGAAACUCAAAGAAAUUGACG
rnacentral:rRNA from 1 species